UAUAAUAACAGCAUGUGUUGCGUGUCUCUAGGGUUUAUUCAAAGGGGCAGGUCACAUUCUAAAACCCCAAGGAAUUCUCCUGACCUAUGGGGUAAGUUGAGUGGUCCUACGACGUGUGUUAUUGCCAUCAGGACAUGUUGUCAUCCAUAACCAGAACCUUCCCUUUUCUUCUGUCUAGCCAUAUGCUGUGAAUGGUCAGAUCACCCCAGAGAGCAACGUAAACUUUGACCUCAGUCUCAGACAAAGGAACGCUGCGUGGGGCCUCAGAGACAUCGCUCUGCUCAGCUCCAUGGCACAGAGGAGGGGUUUGUUCCUGGAGAAAGUGGUGGACAUGCCAGCCAACAACAAAUGUCUUCUGUUCAGGAAGGAGAGUUUGGUGUAGGAGACCUGAGGAGGCUUGUCCUCUGGGGGUUUAAAACGUGUUUCCAGUGACAGUCGGCCGUCCGUCCUCAUCCACACAAAUCGCCAAGUUAUUCCAUUUCACAAUAUAUCGAAUGAGUCAUUCUGAAUGAAGAUAUUAAUACAUUAUGUAUCUGUUUCCAACAAGACUGUAGCUGGUUCUAACCAGCUAGUACAGACUGGUCAGUAGAACCGGCUACAGACUGGUUAGAACCGGCUACAGAAUGCUUAGAACCAGCUUAGAACCAGCUACGGUUUGGUUAGAACCGACUACGAUCCGGUUAGAACCGGAUACAAACUGAUUUGAACCGGCUACAGACUGAGUAGUACAAAAAUUCACUCAGUAAAUUAUUGACAUGAUUAUUAUUUUAUGUCACAUUACUUUUGCCAAUUCAGUUUUAUGCUCCUCCACAAUAUUGUUUUUCUAAUUAUUUCAAUAUUUAUUUUUACAAUAUAUAAAGCUACGGUUUUACUUUUGUUUUUCCACAUUACCGUGUCUCAAUAUGUUUUAAGUGUGAUCCCGUGUAUAGCACAGAGAGAAAACUGAACCUUUUCUGAAAGCUUGUUGAAUAAAAUCCUAACGCCUCGUUUCCACAUACGCAUGUUUUUCGUAUCAGUGCUUCCUUAAAUUUACGGAAGGGGUCGCUAGUGUUUUACGUACGGACAUGAAUUUAUUUACGCCAGCCAAAAAGAUGGGGUAACGUAUGAUAAUGGCCGUUUUUAGGAGACCAGUAGUUUGGAACAUGAGGAUCGACAUUAGGGCCCGACCGAUAUUGAUUUGAGUGCCGAUGCCGAUUAUUUUAAGAGAAAAAUUACGAUUAC
ensembl:lncRNA